rnacentral:lncRNA from 1 species
CGUGUAGCGCACUAAGUGUGACACCUAUGCAGGAUCCCAUGGACAGCGUCGGAUCUCGCGAGAUCGAACUUCUCUGCUCUGACAUGGCUGUCUCUCGUCCACCCAGUCUAUCGAGGCGAGCUUGCUCCGGUGAGAUCCUUUUUGUCUAUGAUCCCCGGCCGUCCAUCCUCGCCCCUCGACGGCCUCCUGCAAGCACGGCCGGGUCGACGCCCGCUCGUCCGGCGCCUCCUUCUUCUGCCCCGCGAUGAGGUCAAUGGCCUCUGCGCACGUGGGGCGGUCCGCGGGUGCACACCAUGUGGUCCACAUGUGUGAGUCCUUGUAGUGUGGUGCUCUCUAGGAGCAUCAAUUUGAUUCCCAUACGCACGGCAGUCGAUCCAUGAAGCUAACUGUUUGCCCUGUCAGGUAUGACGUCGUGAUACGCCCCGGAGCUCCCCUGUCGGGUUGAACGAGUUGCAGAGGAGGCUUCACUUACCUCGAGCGGUUUAGAUGUAAAAAUGCAUCAGUUCUGAACCCCAUGUUCCAUAUUUUCAGAAGCAGAGGCAGCGGAACUGGAGUUCCUGCGGCCAUUUUAGUACUUGUUUUUUGCUACUUGGUGCUUUGCCGCAGUUUGGCUGGGUCGACAAUGUAGUUCUUUUUUGGAAAUCAUUUGCAGUGCGCUUGGUAACAAAAGAGAAGCAUCUCAAGUUUCAUUUUGUUGUCUGGAGGAACGCACUGCAUAUUCAUUGAUAUUUUGUAUUUGGAAAAAGACAGAAAACUUAAUGCAGUUCGUUAGCAUCGGCUAUGUAGUCGAGGUGCAUUUAUAGCCUCAAUUGAAUGGUUCACUUGUCU